ACUACCAUAAUACUGAAAAUUUUUAAAGUAGGCAUAAAAAUGAGCUUGCAGAGAUUAGCUGCAAAGAAAUUUAAAGCUUUAUACUGAUGUGCAGGUGGUGGCCAUGUAGG
rnacentral:snoRNA from 1 species